AGGAUGCAGCAUUCAAGGUUCUAUCUUGGAAGCAGAGACUGUGCCCUCACCAGAUGCUGAACCUGCUGAGCACCCUGAUCUUCCACUUCACCUUCAUCAGAACUGUACUUCAAAGAGGACAUCCUCUCCUGAAGAACAGAAGAACCUGAAAUGUUUGGAGCCUAAGACUGCUGUGAUUGCACCUGCCAUCUUAUGCAGAAAUGACCUGAAGACAGACUGAAACAACGUGUUCUACAGCCUGAAAAUAUCUACCUUGACUUACAGUUUUAUUAAUGCUGGUGUGAUCAGACUGGACAAAAAUUAGCAUAUGUUAUUAACUGAUCUAAUUCAAGUGCCAAUUCUUAAUAGAAACACAAAACAAUAAAAGCAAUUCAGAAAAUA
rnacentral:lncRNA from 1 species